rnacentral:misc_RNA from 1 species
CCGAAGUUACCUUCAAAACCCACUGUGAACCUUACCUCUUGCCGCGUUGUCUCGGCGGGAGGCGGUGGGCGUCGCGCGCCCCCUAGCGGGCCGUGCCGCUCCCGUCCCCGCCGGCGGCGCCAAACUCUAAAUUUACAGCGGACUGUACGUUCUGAUUUACAAAAAAAACAAGUUAAAACUUUCAACAACGGAUCUCUUGGUUCUGGCAUCGAUGAAGAACGCAGCGAAAUGCGAUAAGUAAUGUGAAUUGCAGAAUUCAGUGAACCAUCGAAUCUUUGAACGCACAUUGCGCCCGGCAGUAAUCUGCCGGGCAUGCCUGUCCGAGCGUCAUUUCUGCCCUCGAGCGAAGUUUCCAGCGUCCAGGCGCUGGAGGCCCGCCCGGCGUUGGGGCACUACGGUAGAGCCCUGUGCUGUCCGUAGGCCCUGAAAUGAAGUGGCGGUCCUGCCGCGGCGCCCCCUGCGUAGUAUAACAGCUCGCUUCGGGACCCGGUGGAGGCCUGCCGUCAAACCUAUAUUCUCUAAG